rnacentral:rRNA from 1 species
AUCUGAGCGUCUUAUUUUAAUAAGUCAAAACUUUCAACAACGGAUCUCUUGGUUCUGGCAUCGAUGAAGAACGCAGCGAAAUGCGAUACGUAAUGUGAAUUGCAGAAUUCAGUGAAUCAUCGAAUCUUUGAACGCACAUUGCGCCCAUUAGUAUUCUAGUGGGCAUGCCUGUUCGAGCGUCAUUUCAACCCUUAAGCCU